CUUGGUCAUUUAGAGGAAGUAAAAGUCGUAACAAGGUCUCCGUAGGUGAACCUGCGGAGGGAUCAUUACAAGUGACCCCGGUCUAACCACCGGGAUGUUCAUAACCCUUUGUUGUCCGACUCUGUUGCCUCCGGGGCGACCCUGCCUUCGGGCGGGGGCUCCGGGUGGACACUUCAAACUCUUGCGUAACUUUGCAGUCUGAGUAAACUUAAUUAAUAAAUUAAAACUUUUAACAACGGAUCUCUUGGUUCUGGCAUCGAUGAAGAACGCAGCGAAAUGCGAUAAGUAAUGUGAAUUGCAGAAUUCAGUGAAUCAUCGAAUCUUUGAACGCACAUUGCGCCCCCUGGUAUUCCGGGGGGCAUGCCUGUUCGAGCGUCAUUUCACCACUCAAGCCUCGCUUGGUAUUGGGCAACGCGGUCCGCCGCGUGCCUCAAAUCGACCGGCUGGGUCUUCUGUCCCCUAAGCGUUGUGGAAACUAUUCGCUAAAGGGUGUUCGGGAGGCUACGCCGUAAAACAACCCCAUUUCUAAGGUUGACCUCGGAUCAGGUAGGGAUACCCGCUGAACUUAAGCAUAUCAAUAAGCGGAGGAAAAGAAACCAACAGGGAUUGCUCUAGUAACGGCGAGUGAAGCAGCAAUAGCUCAAAUUUGAAAUCUGGCGUCUUCGACGUCCGAGUUGUAAUUUGUAGAGGAUGCUUCUGAGUAACCACCGACCUAAGUUCCUUGGAACAGGACGUCAUAGAGGGUGAGAAUCCCGUAUGCGGUCGGAAAGGUGCUCUAUACGUAGCUCCUUCGGCGAGUCGAGUUGUUUGGGAAU
rnacentral:sRNA from 1 species